rnacentral:rRNA from 1 species
UACAGAGGUCUCGAGCGUUAGGCGGAAUCACUGGGCUUAAAGCGUGUGUAGGCGGAUCGGUAAGUACCUUGUGAAAUCCCACAGCUUAACUGUGGAACUGCUUGGUAUACUGCCAGUCUUGAGCCACUUAGGGGCUACCGGAACAAAUGGUGGAGCGGUGAAAUGCGUAGAUAUUCGGAGGAACACCAGUGGCGAAGGCGGCUCACUGGUCCAUUACUGACGCUGAGGUGCGAAAGCGUGGGGAGCAAACAGG